UGCCCAAGGAUGGUCUCGGCCUAUCAGGUAGUAGUGGGUGUAAUGUACCUACUAGCCAGCGACGGGUACGGGUUGUGAGUGCAAGAGCCCGGAGAUGGAUUCUGAGACAUGAAUCCAGGCCCUACGGGGCGCAGCAGGCGCGAAAACUUUACAAUGCGGGAAACCGUGAUAAGGGGACACCGAGUGCCAGCAUCAUAUGCUGGCUGUCCGGAUGUGUAAAAUACAUCCGUUAGCAAGGGCCAGGCAAGACCGGUGCCAGCCGCCGCGGUAACACCGGCGGCCCGAGUGGUGAUCGUGAUUAUUGGGUCUAAAGGGUCCGUAGCCGGUUUGGUCAGUCCUCCGGGAAAUCUGAUAGCUCAACUAUUAGGCUUUCGGGGGAUACUGCCAGACUUGGAACCGGGAGAGGUAAGAGGUACUACAGGGGUAGGAGUGAAAUCUUGUAAUCCCUGUGGGACCACCUGUGGCGAGGGCGUCUUACCAGAACGGGUUCGACGGUGAGGGACGAAAGCUGGGGGCACGAACCGGAUUAGAUACCCGGGUAGUCCCAGCCGUAAACGAUGCUCGCUAGGUGUCAGGCAUGGCGCGACCGUGUCUGGUGCCGCAGGGAAGCC
rnacentral:rRNA from 1 species